rnacentral:rRNA from 1 species
GAUGAACGCUGGCGGCGUGCCUAAUACAUGCAAGUCGAGCGAACGGACGAGAAGCUUGCUUCUCUGAUGUUAGCGGCGGACGGGUGAGUAACACGUGGAUAACCUACCUAUAAGACUGGGAUAACUUCGGGAAACCGGAGCUAAUACCGGAUGAUAUUUUGAACCGCAUGGUUCAAAAGUGAAAGACGGUCUUGCUGUCACUUAUAGAUGGAUCCGCGCUGCAUUAGCUAGUUGGUAAGGUAACGGCUUACCAAGGCAACGAUGCAUAGCCGACCUGAGAGGGUGAUCGGCCACACUGGAACUGAGACACGGUCCAGACUCCUACGGGAGGCAGCAGUAGGGAAUCUUCGACAAUGGGCGAAAGCCUGACGGAGCAACGCCGCGUGAGUGAUGAAGGUCUUCGGAUCGUAAAACUCUGUUAUUAGGGAAGAACAUAUGUGUAAGUAACUGUGCACAUCUUGACGGUACCUAAUCAGAAAGCCACGGCUAACUACGUG